CCUACGGGAGGUAGCAGUGAGGAAUAUUGGUCAAUGGGCGAGAGCCUGAACCAGCCAAGUCGCGUGAAGGAUGAAGGUUCUAUGGGUCGUAAACCGCUUUUGCACGGGGAUAACACCCUCCACUUGUGGAGGUCUGCAGGUUCCGUGCGGAUUAGGGCCGGCUAAAUCCGUUCCAGCAGCCGCGGUAAUACGGAAGGCGCGAGCGUUAGCCGGAUUCAUUGGGCUUAAAGGGAGCGUAGGCGGGCGUUCAAGUCAGCUGUAAAAUCGCGCGGCUCAACCGCGCCCCGCAGUUGAAACUGGACGCCUUGAGUUCACAACAGGCAGGCGGAAUUCGUGGUGUAGCGGUGAAAUGCAUAGAUAUCACGAGGAACCCCGAUUGCGAAGGCAGCCUGCCGGGGUGCGACUGACGCUGAGGCUCGAAGGUGCGGGUAUCAAACAGGAUUAGAUACCCUAGUAGUC
rnacentral:rRNA from 1 species